rnacentral:lncRNA from 1 species
AGUUGCUACUAUUCUAAUCGCAAAGUCAAGAGUUCCUUCUUUUCUUAGCUGCCUUCAGUGCCACAGAACUAUCUGGGCCUCUUCCUCUAUCCUUCCUUGUGUGAUCGCUCCUUUCAAAAGCAACAGCCAAAGCAGAUGUAAGGGAAAUGCAUUGGUGCUCAUAAAUUCAAGGAGCUGAAAUGGCAACAGCUGUGGCAAUUUCAGGAUUUCAGCAGGUAAUCAAUGCAAACUGGGGUGCUGUCAAGCAGCCUGGUGCUUAAGGGGCAGAGCCAGGAUGAAUCCAGAUUCUGGUUUCCACCAUGUGCCCGAUGGAUACCAUGCAGAUGUGGAGCAGGAAACACGGGGUGAAAAUCCCCGCCAGGAACUGUUCAUCCUGAAAAAAACCUGCUGCACAUUGCCCUGGUCACCUUAAUGAAAAAUGGGUCAAAAUCAAAGUUGAUGAUCAGUCAUAUGAUCUCCAGCAGCCCUGGAAGGGUGUGAGUUCUCGGCGUCCCAUGCAGGACCUCUGAAUAUACAGAGGUGCUGAAGGGGGAGCAUGCGUCAGUGCCAAACACUGGAUGACCUCACUAUCC